AGCGAACGCUGGCGGCAGGCCUAACACAUGCAAGUCGAACGGAUCCUUCGGGAUUAGUGGCGGACGGGUGAGUAACACGUGGGAACGUGCCCUUUGGUUCGGAACAACUCAGGGAAACUUGAGCUAAUACCGGAUGUGCCCUUCGGGGGAAAGAUUUAUCGCCAUUGGAGCGGCCCGCGUCUGAUUAGCUAGUUGGUGAGGUAACGGCCCACCAAGGCGACGAUCAGUAGCUGGUCGGAGAGGAUGAUUCGCCACACUGGGAAUGAGACACGGCCCAGACUCCUACGGGGGGGAGGAGUGGGGGAUCUUGCGGAAUGGGCCGAAGCCUGACGACGCCAUGCCCGGUAAAAUGUGAAGGUCUUUGGAAUGUAAAAUUCUUUCAGCGGGGACGAUAAUGACGGUACCCGCAGAAGAAGCUCCGGCUAACUUCGUG
rnacentral:rRNA from 1 species